rnacentral:rRNA from 1 species
UUAAAUUGAAGAGUUUGAUCAUGGCUCAGAUUGAACGCUGGCGGCAGGCCUAACACAUGCAAGUCGAACGGUAGCACAGAGAGCUUGCUCUCGGGUGACGAGUGGCGGACGGGUGAGUAAUGUCUGGGAAACUGCCUGAUGGAGGGGGAUAACUACUGGAAACGGUAGCUAAUACCGCAUAAUGUCGCAAGAC